AUAUAUAUGUGCACUCUAAAACUGGAACAGAACAGAGAUUAACACAGCCCCUGUGCAAGGAUGUUUCACACAUUUGUGAAUCAUUCCAUAUUUGU
ensembl:snRNA U6 U6 spliceosomal RNA